UCCGGGAUGUUCCUGCCAAAGGUCCAGAGUCUGCAUUGGAUCAUGAGGAAUCCUCAGGCAAGCCCAACUUGAGGGAUAUUCUACAAAAGAUCUGGCCUAUAGUCUUAAAAAAUUCCCCAGGAAUUGUUCUAGAUUGAAGAAGACAAAAGACACGUGACAACUAAAUGCAACGUGUGAUUCUGAACUGGAUCCUUUUGUUAAAAAGGAUGUAGUUAGGACAACUGGCAAAACGGAAAUAAGGUCUGAGGAUUCGAUGGUAGCGACGCGCUCACGUUGCUUUCCUGAUGCUUUUGUUGUGGCUGUGUUGAGGCCAUCCUUGUUUGUACUUGGGGAUGAUGGGGCAUCGGGUCGGCAACUGCUUUCAAAUGGCUCAGGAAGAAGUUAUUUUUAUCUGUAUUACAACUUUUCUGUAAGUUUGAACUCAUUUCAAAGAAAAAAGCUUUCAGAGAGUUAUUAAGUGUCUACUAACAGUUGGGCAUCUUAGAUCAGAGUUGUGGUUAAAAGCUAGCUUUACAAAAUAUGAUACAUACAUACAAUGGAAUAUAUUCAGCCUUAAAAGGGAAGGAAAUUCUGACACUUGCCACAACACGGAUAAACCUUGAGGACAUUUUGCUGAGUGCAGCAAGCCAAUCACAAAAGACAAAUACUGUAUGAUUCCACGUUAUAUGAGGUGCCUCGAGUAGUCGAAUUCAUAGCAACAGGAAGCACAGCGGUCACUGCCAGUGGCUGGAGGGAGAAGGGGAUGGGAAGUUACUGUGUAAAGGGUACAGAGUUUUAGAUUGGGAAGAUAAAAAGUUCUGGAGAUGGAUGGUGGUAAAUGGUUGCUUAGCAAUGUGAGCGUACUUAAUACCACUGAACUGUAUACAUAAAAAUAGUUGAGGUAAAUUUUGUGAUGUGUCUCUUAUAGUUCUUUUAAAAAUGGGGGGGGAGAGGUGGGGAAUAGGCUUUGAAGUGAACCCUGGCUUGGACUCUCAGCUUUAAUACUUGUCACUGACAAGCGCUUGUCAGUGGGGACGACAGUGCUGUCUCUGUGGUGCAUAGCUAGAGCUCCUGCAGGGAGCCCUGGAGUGCAGGGCUGGGGUGGACACACGGCACACACUCAUGUUGGGUGAACUCCUCUUAUCAUCGCUCAUCAUGGACUCCAUAGCUCAGUAAGGCUGCUGUUGUUUUCCCCAGUGCCCUCCCUUCCUAUCUUUAACAACUGCUGGCCACCCAAAGUCUGGACUUGCUAUCCUCAACUCUCUAGGAACUUCCACCAGAGACAGAGGUGAAGUGUGUCCCAGCUAAAGGCAUAUGUAAAAAUUUACAGGCACUGAUGUCUCUGGAGACAAGGAUGGAACUGGUAACAGCUUCUCGGGAGGGUAUCUGAGAGACUGGAGGGACACUGAUGGGAAACUUCUCGCUGCUAAACCCAUUUGUACCCUUUGAAUGUGUUUCCACUACAAGCUUAUCUAUUUAAAUAAAUGGAUAGUGUCAACCUAAACAACAGUCUAUCGGAAAGAAAAUAACAUGAUUCAGAACACCGCAAUGGGAAUAUUCAUGCCAUAGUAAACUAUGUGCGUAUUAGGGCAGGUAAAGAAAAAGGUUUUUAAAGAAAAAAUGAGAGGAUUGCAUCAUUGAGAUAAUUAUCCUUGGCUAUAACAACACUGACCAAGGGUGGCGUCAGUCCAAGGCUGGAGAGGCGGUUGCUGGGCUCUUGUCCUUGCAGAAGAAUUUGUGUGGUAAUAAGGCUGCAGUGGCCUUUCUGCAAAGCUGUGGUUUUUGCAGUCUUGUGAUAGUUUUUGUUAUCAGGCAUUCCGGCAUGAGAACCUCUCCCUUCAUGGCCUUCCCCAGCUCUACAUGUUACGUUUUUUUUUUUUUUUUUUUUUUUUUUGAGACAGUCUCACUCUGUCACCCCAGGCUGGAGUAUAGUGGUGCCAUCUCGGCUCACUGCAACCUCUGCCUCCCGGGUUCAAGCAAUUUUCCUGCCUCAGCCUCCCAAGCAGCUGGGAUUACAGGCGCCUGCCACCACGCCUGGCUAAUUUUUUUUUUUAGUAGAGAUGGGGUUUCGCCAUGUUGCCCAGGCUGGUUUUGAACUCCCGAGCUCAGGCAAUCCACCUGCCUUGGCCUCCUAAAGUGCUGGGGUUACAGGCGUGAGCCACUGUGCCUGGCCGUGUAUGGCUUUUUGACAUAAGUGACUCUAUUUUGACUCUGACAACUUUCACAAUAAUCAAAUUGCCAGAGAGACCCCUCCCUUUCCCCUUCUCUCUCACACCCUUCAGCCCACUGCCACCUUGCAGUAGCCCCCAGCUCUCCACUCAAACUGCUCUUGCCCUUGUUGACAAAUUCAACAAAUUUCUCCCUUGAUCUUCCUGACUGCUCUGUGGCAUUUUGACAUUUCAAACACUAUUUCCCUGAGCUUCACAGAAACCAGUGAGAUAUAUCCACUAUUAGGGGAAGGGCCAACGUCUGUCCUGGCCACUGAUGUAGUCCUAUGGCCAAGUGCAUUGCUUGGCACACUUGUGCCAUAUAUUACAUAUGCCAUUACACACACACACAAAAAAUCAAAACAAAACCUCCUGACCAACCUUAACACAAAAGUAGGCUCAACGAUAGCACUGGCAAACUCACAAAAGACAUCUUCAUGUGCAAAUAGCCAGAAAUAAAGGCAGAGGCCAUCAGUUUUUAAAUAAAGCAAUCUUGGUUGUGAUAUUGUACCACCUUUUUGCAAAACAUUACCGUUGGGGAAAUCGGGUAAAUAUCAAUGUUUAUACAGUCUAUUAUUUUUUAAAAACUACAUGUGCAUCUUCAGUUAUUCGCAUGUAAAAAGUUUAAUUUUAAAUACAGCAGGAAGUACAAACCCGAUCUGUCAGCUGAAGAAAACAUCUACCAACUGGAGGAUCAUUAAUGGGUAAAUCAAACAAAUGCUAUGAGACAAUCGGUCGGGACAUUUUUUAGUUGCAAGCUGCAAAAAUGCAAAUAAACCAACAUAGAAGGAGUAUGUACUGGGCAGCAGUAACUCGGGGCAGGUCACGCACCUAUGAGCCAGUGGCUGUAAGGGAAGAGGUGGAAAGCAGAAUGCCAAUGGUAUGGGUGGUUGACUAUAUUUGGAAAGAUCUUACAAGAAAGAAAUGAGCCCGCAGACAAGUUUUCCAGUUUAUCAGCAGAAAUUAAGGGACAGUCCAGAUAAUUCGAGGACCUAUAAUGUUGAAUAGGACCUAUAAUGUUGAAUAAGUAAACUGACUCGGCUCCAAACAACAAGAAACAAAUGCAGAGAACAGUGGAAUGACAAAGGCCUCAGUGUGAUGAUUAAGGAGGAGGCACCCAAGCAAACUUUCCAGCUGGACAAAAUGGCUCAGGGGGAAAAUAGUCUGGUUUUUUUUUUUUUUUUUUUUUUGCACAGAAGCCCCACAGGUUUAAAUCUAGACUCAAAGUUUAAAUCUAGAGAGGCAUAAGGGUAAGGGAGUGAAGAAAUACAGCAGAUUUGAGAACUGAGUCACAAAAAAGAACUGAGUGUGGCUUCUGGCCCAUGUUACUGAUUGCAAUCAAUCAGGUAAAAUUCCUACUACAUUUUUGAAGCUUAUUCUGACAAAAAUAAAACAAACUCACAAGCCCAGGUUCCAGAAGUGUCUGUUCAAAACUUAAAAUAUUCCUUGGGUCUCCAAUCGCCUAGAGGAUGAGGAUUGAGAAGGCUGCACAACCUCCAAGAAAUUCUUGAAUGUCUCUUUUGGGUGUGGCCGAAAAGGAGGAUGGAAAGGGAGGAUAAUGGAAAUGAAAGAACCUAGCAGAGGGUGAAGCCAGAGGCCACAGAGGACAAUGGAAUGGGGAGACCCCUGCUAAAGAAUGGAACCCAGUCCUAAACAAGCAACAUCUGCCAGCCUAGGUGAAGUGGCCCCACAGUGGCUGCCUACUGGGAUUUUGGAAUUGCUACGGGCCAGGAAUGGCAAGGUUUCACAUUCCUCCCUGUUCUAAUGAUUCCUGUUGCUUAUCAGGUGGGAUGUUGGGCAGACAACCCGAGUUUUCUUAGGUCUAACAGAGGAGCUGCCUAGUCCCCACUGUAGAGAUGUCCUGAACCUUGGGUUGGAUGCAGUGACUAGACGGUAUUUUGGGAUCAUCUUCCAUGGAGCAGGAUGAGUAUCUUUGUGGGGAAAAUACACCAUAUACUUGGCAGUCAGAAAGGCUAAGAUAGACUUCUAGUACUCACCCAUACUUGAUUCUCCUCUUGUUCUGGGCACUUCCAAGGGACUAUGGAAUUUUUUAAAAUGACAUACUAGUCUUGCCCUUCAGGAGCUGUUAGACACACACACAACUAUGAAUUAAAAUGUUUCCUGAGCAAACGUGCUUUUUAGCUCGCACCAGAAUCACCUGGAGGGCUUGCUGGGGCCCUCCACAUCUCCGAGUCUGGGGUGGGGGCCACAUUUCUAACAAGUCCCAGGGUGCUACUUCUGCACACACAAGGAUGACAAACACUGACACAUACCACGGACUACCUCAACUAAAGACCAGUGUCAGUAAUGGCUCAGGGAGGAGAGAAACAGCCCACUACUAGCUACACCUACUAGUUUCAUAGUUCCAAGUUAUAUGUACCAAUCUUCACUGCCAGUAGAUCAUGUGUGGUGCACAGAGGCAGAAGACAAAGGUUGCCCUUCACAGACCUGAGGUUUAAGCUUCAGCUGAAGCUUCGGAGUAAAAGUAUCAAAUAAUUUUAUUAUGAAAGAUAAGCCAUUUAUUGACCAU
rnacentral:lncRNA from 1 species